UACGUAGGGGGCAAGCGUUGUCCGGAUUUACUGGGCGUAAAGCGCGUGUAGGCGGUCUUGUAAGUUGGGUGUGAAAUCCCGAGGCUCAACCUCGGAACUGCCUCCAAAACUACAAGUCUGGAGCAAGAUAGAGGCAAGUGGAAUUGCGAGUGUAGCGGUGAAAUGCGCAGAUAUCAGGAGGAACACCUAUUGCGAAGGCAGCUCGCUGGGACGUAACUGACGCUGAGACGCGAAAGCGUGGGGAGCAAACAGG
rnacentral:rRNA from 1 species